UACCAGCUCUCCGAGUGGUAGGGAUGAUUAUUGGGCUUAAAGCGUCCGUAGCCGGCUUAGCAAGUCUCCUGUUAAAUUCAGCGACCUAAUCGUUGACCCGCGGGAGAUACUACUAAGCUAGGAGGCGGGAGAGGUCGACGGUACUUCUGGGGUAGGGGUGAAAUCCUAUAAUCCCGGGAGGACCACCAGUGGCGAAGGCUGUCGACUAGAACGCGCUCGACGGUGAGGGACGAAAGCUGGGGGAGCGAACCGG
rnacentral:rRNA from 1 species